GACGAACGCUGGCGGCGUGCCUAAUACAUGCAAGUUGAGCGCUGAAGGUUGGUACUUGUACCAACUGGAUGAGCAGCGAACGGGUGAGUAACGCGUGGGGAAUCUGCCUUUGAGCAGGGGACAACAUUUGGAAACGAAUGCUAAUACCGCAUAAAAACUUUAAACACAAGUUUUAAGUUUGAAAGAUGCAAUUGCAUCACUCAAAGAUGAUCCCGCGUUGUAUUAGCUAGUUGGUGAGGUAAAGGCUCACCAAGGCGAUGAUACAUAGCCGACCUGAGAGGGUGAUCGGCCACAUUGGGACUGAGACACGGCCCAAACUCCUACGGGAGGCAGCAGUAGGGAAUCUUCGGCAAUGGACGAAAGUCUGACCGAGCAACGCCGCGGGAGUGAAGAAGGUUUUCGGAUCGUAAAACUCUGUUGGUAGAGAAGAACGUUGGUGAGAGUGGAAAGCUCACCAAGUGACGGUAACUACCCAGAAAGGGACGGCUAACUACGUG
rnacentral:rRNA from 1 species